AUUGAACGCUGGCGGCAGGCCUAACACAUGCAAGUCGAACGGUAACAGGAAACAGCUUGCUGUUUCGCUGACGAGUGGCGGACGGGUGAGUAAUGUCUGGGAAACUGCCUGAUGGAGGGGGAUAACUACUGGAAACGGUAGCUAAUACCGCAUAACGUCGCAAGACCAAAGAGGGGGACCUUCGGGCCUCUUGCCAUCGGAUGUGCCCAGAUGGGAUUAGCUAGUAGGUGGGGUAACGGCUCACCUAGGCGACGAUCCCUAGCUGGUCUGAGAGGAUGACCAGCAACACUGGAACUGAGACACGGUCCAGACUCCUACGGGAGGCAGCAGUGGGGAAUAUUGCACAAUGGGCGCAAGCCUGAUGCAGCCAUGUCGCGUGUAUAAAGAAGGCCUUCGGGUUGUAAAGUGCUUUCAGCGGGGAGGAAGGGAGUAAAGUUAAUACCUUUGCUCAUUGACGUUACCCGCAGAAGAAGCACCGGCUAACUCCGUGCCAGCCGCCGCCGUAA
rnacentral:rRNA from 1 species